GUUGGGUAGGGGAGCGUUCUGUAAGCCUGCGAAGGUGUACUGUGAGGUAUGCUGGAGGUAUCAGAAGUGCGAAUGCUGACAUAAGUAACGAUAAUGCGGGUGAAAAACCCGCACGCCGGAAGACCAAGGGUUCCUGUCCAACGUUAAUCGGGGCAGGGUGAGUCGACCCCUAAGGCGAGGCUGAAAAGCGUAGUCGAUGGGAAACGGGUUAAUAUUCCCGUACUGGUGGUAACUGCGAUGGGGGAACGGAGAAGGCUAGGUUGUCCGGGCGACGGUCGUCCCGGUUCAAGCAGGUAGGCAGAGUGAUUAGGCAAAUCCGGUCACUUAAUGCUGAGAUGUGAUGACGAACCACUAAGGUGGUGAAGCAAUUGAUGCCCCGCUUCCAGGAAAAGCCUCUAAGCUUCAGGUUACCAACAAUCGUACCCCAAACCGACACAGGUGGUCAGGUAGAGAAUACUCAGGCGCUUGAGAGAACUCGGGUGAAGGAACUAGGCAAAAUGGUGCCGUAACUUCGGGAGAAGGCACGCUGGCGGUAGGUAAAGUCCCUCGCGGACAGAGCUGAAGCCAGUCGAAGAUACCAGCUGGCUGCAACUGUUUAUUAAAAACACAGCACUGUGCAAACACGAAAGUGGACGUAUACGGUGUGACGCCUGCCCGGUGCUGGAAGGUUAAUUGAUGGGGUUAGCGCAAGCGAAGCUCCUGAUCGAAGCCCCAGUAAACGGCGGCCGUAACUAUAACGGUCCUAAGGUAGCGAAAUUCCUUGUCGGGUAAGUUCCGACCUGCACGAAUGGCGUAAUGAUGGCCAGGCUGUCUCCACCCGAGACUCAGUGAAAUUGAACUCGCUGUGAAGAUGCAGUGUACCCGCGGCAAGACGGAAAGACCCCGUGAACCUUUACUAUAGCUUGACACUGAACAUUGAGCCUUGAUGUGUAGGAUAGGUGGGAGGCUUUGAAGUGUGGACGCCAGUCUGCAUGGAGCCAACCUUGAAAUACCACCCUUUAACGUUUGAUGUUCUAACCUAGGCCCGUGAUCCGGGUCGGGGACCGUGUCUGGUGGGUAGUUUGACUGGGGCGGUCUCCUCCUAAAGAGUAACGGAGGAGCACGAAGGUUGGCUAAGCAUGGUCGGACAUCAUGCGGUUAGUGCAAAGGCAUAAGCCAGCUUGACUGCGAGAGUGACGGCUCGAGCAGGUACGAAAGUAGGUCUUAGUGAUCCGGUGGUUCUGAAUGGAAGGGCCAUCGCUCAACGGAUAAAAGGUACUCCGGGGAUAACAGGCUGAUACCGCCCAAGAGUUCAUAUCGACGGCGGUGUUUGGCACCUCGAUGUCGGCUCAUCACAUCCUGGGGCUGAAGUAGGUCCCAAGGGUAUGGCUGUUCGCCAUUUAAAGUGGUACGCGAGCUGGGUUUAGAACGUCGUGAGACAGUUCGGUCCCUAUCUGCCGUGGGCGUUGGAAGAUUGAGAGGGGUUGCUCCUAGUACGAGAGGACCGGAGUGAACGCACCACUGGUGUUCGGGUUGUCAUGCCAAUGGCAUUGCCCGGUAGCUAAGUGCGGAAGAGAUAACCGCUGAAAGCAUCUAAGCGGGAAACUUGCCUCGAGAUGAGUCUUCCCUGUCGCUUAAAGCGACCUAAAGGAACGUUUAAGACGAAGACGUUGAUAGGCUGGAUGUGUAAGCGUAGCGAUACGUUGAGCUAACCAGUACUAAUGAACCGUGAGGCUUAACCUGACAACACCGAAGGUGUUU
rnacentral:rRNA from 1 species